AAACUAUUAAACCACAAGCUCCGUGUAGCCCAAUCCUACAGACCCCAACACGCCAGAACAUUAAACCAAAGGCCACUCUAAUAAGGAAUAAGAACACAGCAAACAGACAAUCAGCCCCUGAACAAAGGAUCCGCAAGGGCGAGGGCUACUCGCUCUCCCAUGUGGCUGAAAUCAAUCCUGUUGAAAGACCAUGUGCUUCGAUGCCCCUCUCUGUGAA